UGUGCAUUGAUUGUAUGACUUCUGAAGUGUCUUUGCUUUCUUUUGGGUAAUAGUCCUCCUAUUACGUAAAAAUAAAAAUAAAAUCAGGUAUCAAAGCAACUUUAAUAAUAUAGUGUAAUUUUCCUUGAUUCUAUUUAAAUGUUAUAAAGGAAGGUGGAACGAUAAUCUCUAAUGAAGAUAGGAGAAAAGAUCAGAAUUGAAUGAGCAAGAUUGGGGUGUAAUAAUUACAGAGAGAUUGCAGAGAUUAGAAUAGUGAAUUGGAAAAGUCGGAGGUGAAGGCGACGAACAUUCUGCGUAGAAUAAGAUAGACCUAUUAUUUUUGUUCAGCCCAGAUUUACUGGACCUGUUAUAUUUUUUGUCGACAAAAUAAAAGUGAUGUGGCAAAACAGAGCUUCAUGAUUGGCCUGAAUAAAAAAUCCUACGUGGCACGCUCGUUGCUCUCCUU
rnacentral:lncRNA from 1 species